rnacentral:tRNA from 7 species
CCAGGGUUGGCCGAGCGGUUUAGGCAACAAACUCAUAAUUUGUGCAAGGCAGGUUCAACUCCUGCACCCUGGA